rnacentral:rRNA from 1 species
UACGUAGGGGUCGAGCGUUGUCCGGAUUCAUUGGGCGUAAAGAGCUCGUAGGCGGCUUGGCAAGUCGGGUGUGAAAACUUCAGGCUCAACCUGGAGCGGCCACUCGAUACUGCCAUGGCUUGAGUCCGGUAGGGGACCACGGAAUUCCUGGUGUAGCGGUGAAAUGCGCAGAUAUCAGGAGGAACACCGGUGGCGAAGGCGGGUCUCUGGGCAACAACUGACGCUGAGGAGCGAAAGCGUGGGGAGCGAACAGG